UACGGAGGGGGCUAGCGUUGUUCGGAAUUACUGGGCGUAAAGCGCACGUAGGCGGCUUUGUAAGUUAGAGGUGAAAGCCCAGGGCUUAACCCUGGAAUUGCCUUUAAGACUGCAUCGCUAGAAUCGUGGAGAGGUGAGUGGAAUUCCGAGUGUAGAGGUGAAAUUCGUAGAGAUCCGGAGGAACACCAAAGGCGAAGGCAGUGUCCUGGGGAGUACCUGACGCUCAGGUGCGAAAGCCAGGGGAGCGAACGGG
rnacentral:rRNA from 1 species